rnacentral:rRNA from 1 species
UACGUAGGGACCGAGCGUUGUCCGGAUUCAUUGGGCGUAAAGAGCUCGUAGGCGGCUGUUCAAGUCGAACGUGAAAACUCGGAGCUCAACUCCGAGCCUGCGUUCGAUACUGGAUGGCUAGAGUCUGGUAGGGGGAUCUGGAAUUCCAGGUGUAGCGGUGAAAUGCGUAGAUAUCUGGAGGAACACCGGUGGCGAAGGCGGCAUCCUGGACCGGCAUUGACGCUGAGGCGCGAAAGCCAGGGGAGCAAAGCGGG